rnacentral:rRNA from 1 species
GAGUAGUGCUUGGGAACGUGCCUUGAGGUGGGGGACAACAGUUGGAAACCACUGCUAAUACCGCAUAAUGUCUACGGACCAAGGGGGGCUUCGGCUCUCCCCUUUAUAUUGGCCCAAGUGAGAUUAUCUAGUUGGAGAGGUAAUGGCUCACCAGGGCCACUAUCCCUAUCUGGUUUGAGAGGAUGAUCACCCACUCUGGCACUGACACACGGCCCACACUCCUACGGGAGGCAGCAGUGGGGAAUAUUGCACAGUGGGCGCAAGCCUGAUGCACCCGUGCCGCGUGUGUGAAAAAGGCCUUCGGGUUGUAAAGCACUUUCACUCGAGAAGAAAGGUUAGUCGUUAAUACCCGCUAUCUGUGACGUUACUGACAGAAAAAGCCCCGGCUAACUCCGUGCCAGCCCCCGCGGUAAUACAGAGGGUGCGAGCGUUAAUCAGAAUUACUGGGCGUAAAGCGUACGCACGCGGUUUGUUAAGCGAGAUGUGAAAGCCCCGGGCUCAACCUGGGAACUGCAUUUCAAACUGGCAAACUAGAGUGUGAUAGAGGGUGGUAGAAUUUCGUGUGUAGCGG